GAAUACAGUGAUUUCCUUCCAUAUAUUCUAGUCUCUUCGGGGGAAUAAAACCCACUCUCUCAUUUGGAAGCAAAUUCAGCUCUAUGUCCUUCACCUUAGGUUAGGGUCUACUGAGAAAACAAAUAAAUAGGAUUCUUAGGAGGAAAAAAAAAAAAAAUCCCCUGAGAAUCACGUGGCAUUCCCAAACUGAAAACUAGGAAGAUGACAUAAGUUUUAUCUAGGUACACUCAGACCAGUAAUCUUGUUACCAAAUGAGCCUGUCAAGCCGGGCAGGGCCUGACACACAGCUUCAGUACACUGAGGACACAACCAAACCAGGUCUCGGAAAGUCUGCACCACCACUACAAUACAGGCCAGGGUACAAGAGCACAGGAUUAGAGCCUCCAGGUUCUCAAGAAGGAAAAGGAGCAGACACCUACCUAUGGCAAAGAUGGCAGCCUGUGCAAAGUCCGCAGACACAUCCGUGCAGUACCCUCGAAGCUCCUCUAGCACCUGCUGCACAUUCUCGUCGUUCACCAGCUCACACAGCACCUCCACUUUCUGUAGUUUGAUGUAGUGGGGCUCCGAGUAGGAGCAAAAAAACUUUUUGUAGUGGCUGCUAAAGUGACCUGGUAAACUAUGCAAGAUCUGGCGUACAUGACAAAGAGCAACAAAACAGAGCUCACGGCUCUCUGAAGAACAGGCAGCUAGCAAAGGUCCCUUGACCCGCACAAGGACAUCAGUUUGUACGUGGGGAAACUUUUUUGCCAAGAUCAGAAAAAGUUUGGUAGCUCCCAUCACCACACCUGGGCUACUGCUCUUGAGGAAACUAUCCAACAGAUUGAGAAUGUCAAAUAGUUCUUCCUCACUGCGGGGUUGGUAGCGUAGCAGAAAGUUCAAUACUUCAGCUUGGCCCCAUUGGUCCAGUUUUGACAUCCUAUCCAAAAAAGAAAACAAAAGAGCUAUUUUAGCAACAAAAUUAGGACCAUUUCCAUGCCACUGCCGUAUGACCAGGUGGUUGUUCAUCAUAGCAAAGGGAGAAUUCUUAAAAAUAGGCUGUGCCAUAAUUAAAUCACUUUUCAUGUACUAUUUAAAGUUUACACAAAAAAGGCUUAAAAUUCCAAGAUGAGUUGUUAAUACAAAUGCACACUCAUCUAAGACCAAAGACAUGAUCAGCAUACACUGGGUCCAGGUUCCUUACAUUUUAAGACACUAUAAAUGGCUUAGUUUGGGGGACAUGACUAGAGAAGGGUAGAACCUAUUCCCACGGUAUAUUUCUAUUUCUCUAUAUCAACAAGGGAAAGUAAGGCAAAUAAAAGAAAUUCUCUCAGUGAAAUGUGAGGGAGUUAAUAGUGGUUAACUGGCUGGGUGCGGUGGCUCACGCCUGUAAUCCCAGCACUUUGGGAGGCCAAGGCGGGCGGAUCACCUGAGGUCAGAAGUUUGGGACCAGCCUGACCAACAUGGUGAAACCCUGUCUCUACUAAAAAUACAAAAUUAGCCAGGCGUGGUGGCACAUGCCUAUAAUCCCAGCUACUCAGGAGGCUGAGGCAGGAGAAUUGCUUGAACCCAGGAGGUGGAGGUUGCGGUAAGCCGAGAUAGCGCCAUUGCACUCCAGCUUAGACAACAAGAGCAAAACUCCAUCUCAAAUAAUAAUAAUAAUAAUCAUGGUUAACUUUCUUUUCUACCCCAUAUAAGUUGUUCAAUACUUCAGUACAUCAACAAGAUCCCACAAGGUAGCAGAUCUCAUAAUAAAAAGAGCGCUGAGGCAUCCAAACCG
rnacentral:antisense_RNA from 1 species